GCCCGGAUGGUCUAGUGGUACGUUCCACUUCUUUAUCGGGUGAACCUGUGCGAGGUCCCGCGUUCAAAUCGCGGUUCGGGCC
rnacentral:tRNA from 1 species